UACGGGGGGGGCAAGCGGUUGUUCGGAAUUACUGGGCGUAAAGGGCUCGUAGGCGGCCAACUAAGUCAGACGUGAAAUCCCUCGGCUUAACCGGGGAACUGCGUCUGAUACUGGAUGGCUUGAGUUUGGGAGAGGGAUGCGGAAUUCCAGGUGUAGCGGUGAAAUGCGCAGAUAAUCAGGAGGAACACCAAUGGCGAAGGCAGCACUCUGGGACGUGACUGACGGCGAGACGCGAAAGCGUGGGGAGCAAACAGG
rnacentral:rRNA from 1 species